AGGGAUUGCCUAGUAACGGCGAGUGAAGCGGCAACAGCUCAAAUUUGAAAUCUUGGCCCUCGGGUCCGAGUUGUAAUUUGUAGAGGAUGCUUUUGGUGCGGUGCCUUCCGAGUUCCCUGGAACGGGACGCCAUAGAGGGUGAGAGCCCCGUCUGGUUGGACACCAAGCCUCUGUAAAGCUCCUUCGACGAGUCGAGUAGUUUGGGAAUGCUGCUCUAAAUGGGAGGUAUAUGUCUUCUAAAGCUAAAUACCGGCCAGAGACCGAUAGCGCACAAGUAGAGUGAUCGAAAGAUGAAAAGCACUUUGAAAAGAGGGUUAAAUAGUACGUGAAAUUGUUGAAAGGGAAGCGCUUAUGACCAGACUUGAGCCCGGUUAAUCAUCCAGCCUUCUGGCUGGUGCACUCAGCCGGCUCAGGCCAGCAUCAGUUCGGCGCGGGGGAUAAAGGUUUCGGGAAUGUGGCUCCUCCGGGAGUGUUAUAGCCCGUUGCGUAAUACCCUGCGCUGGACUGAGGUUCGCG
rnacentral:rRNA from 1 species